rnacentral:lncRNA from 1 species
GUCGGCCCAGGCCCCGGGGCUGGGAGGAGAGGAUGCCUUCGGAGGCGCAGAAUCCGAAAGUAUCUAAUUGUCUUUUUUCGCUGAGCAUACCAAAGAGAGUAACAAGUACAAAGUACUUGAUGUUUAAAGGAAUGCAGAAUAUCCAAUGCUACAAAAGGAACAAUGUAUCUGGAAUAAAAUGAGUGAAGGGGAUAGUGAUACAAGGAGAAGUUGAAAAGAGAUGUGGUUGGAGCUGGAAGCUGUUAUCCUCAGCAAACUAAUGCAGGAGGAGAAAACCAAAUACUGCAAGUUCUCACUUAUAAGUGGGAACUGAAUGAUGAGAACAUUUGGACAUGAAGACCAAAUCUCCAGGAUUGUGAAUCAAUCAGAGAAUGUUUAGAUGAGAAACCUGAUACACAGAGCAAAAAUCAGUGUUAUAGCCAGAGGCCCAGAAUUUGCAAGUUCCUGA